CGAGUCCGAGGAGCUAAGGCUCCAAAGUGAUGCGAGUCAGACUUCCCAGAAAAGCCCGAACCACGUUAAUUUCUAAUUACCUGUACCCGAAACCGACACAGGUGGGUAGGUAGAGUAUACUAAGGGGCGCGAGAUAACUCUCUCUAAGGAACUCGGCAAAAUGACUCCGUAACUUCGGGAGAAGGAGUGCCUUAUUUAUAAGGUUGCAAUAACAAGAUCCAAGCAACUGUUUAUCAAAAACACAGGUCUCCGCUAAGUCGUAAGACGACGUAUGGGGGCUGACGCCUGCCCAGUGCCAGAAGGUUAAAGAAGUUGGUUAGUGUAUGCGAAGCUGAUGACUGAAGCCCUGGUGAACGGCGGCCGUAACUAUAACGGUCCUAAGGUAGCGAAAUUCCUUGUCGGGUAAGUUCCGACCCGCACGAAAGGCGUAAUGAUUUGGAUACUGUCUCGGAGAGAGGCUCGGUGAAAUAGACUUGUCUGUGAAGAUGCGGACUACCUGCACCAGGACAGAAAGACCCUAUGAAGCUUUACUGUAACUUGAAAUUGGAAUUGGACUUUGCUUGCGCAGUAUAGGUGGGAAGCGUUGAAAAUAUUCUUGCGGGAGUAUUGGAGCUAUCAGUGAGAUACCACUCUUGUAAUGUUAGAUUUCUAACUUUGAACCAUAAUCUGGUCAAAGAACAGUUUCAGGUGGGCAGUUUGACUGGGGCGGUCGCCUCCCAAAUGGUAACGGAGGCGUACAAAGGUUUCCUCUGAACGGAUUGAAAUCGUAUCUAGAGUGUAAAGGCAUAAGGAAGCUUGACUGUGAGACCUACAAGUCGAGCAGGGACGAAAGUCGGUCUUAGUGAUCUGACGGUACUGAGUGGAAAGGCCGUCACUCAACGGAUAAAAGUUACUCUAAGGAUAACAGGCUGAUCUCCCCCAAGAGUUCACAUCGACGGGGAGGUUUGGCACCUCGAUGUCGGCUCAUCGCAUCCUGGGGCGGUAGUACGUCCCAAGGGUUGGGCUGUUCGCCCAUGAAAGCGGUACGCGAGCUGGGUUCAGAACGUCGUGAGACAGUUCGGUCCAUAUCCGGUGUAGGCGCUAGAAUAUUGAGAGGAGCCUUCUUUAGUACGAGAGGACCGAGAAGGACACACCGCUGGUGUACCAGUUAUCGUGCCAACGGUAAACGCUGGGUAGCUAUGUGUGGAGUGGAUAACCGCUGAAAGCAUCUAAGUGGGAAGCCCACCUCGAGAUGAGUAUCCUC
rnacentral:rRNA from 1 species